AUAUCAAGCGGAAGUCUGUUUGUGUGACUCUGCCUGUAUGUUGUCAAGUUGCAAAUAGCCUAGUUUUAUCAGUUGUUGCUUGAUGAGAGACCAACUAGUUUAUGCCUGACAUUUGUGACUCUACAUUUAAUGCAGUACAAUCGAGAGCUCACGGCAUCAGGUACGCUUUAGAUACAAAAACUCUCGCUCAGUUUAGUUCCCGUGUAGUGUUAAAUUCUGGUGAACUAUAUUCGUUACAAAUGGUAAGCUAAAGCAGAUUUAAAAAGAUGAUAAAUUUGCUCAAACCACGUUCAGUUUCAAAACUGACCUGAAGCUGCACUCAUUGGCCCUAUGGAUCCUCUCUUUUAAAGAAUCUACCUGUUUGUUGCCAUUUUGUGGGACUUAUAGGAAGAAGACAUGAGGUGGAGUACUUCUUAAGAUAAUCCUACUCAAUGCAUACUAGAAAUUGCUAUUCGAAAAAGUUGUUCUGAAGUGACUCUUCAGGGCUUGGGAGGUUGUCAAUUUUUGUGUACAUGUUACUGUUGUAUACUACUAAUACAAAUUUUGUAGUCUACAAGGGAUCUGCAGUACUUUCAUAGUAGCGAAUAAAGAAUGAAUCAAAUGGGAUUGAUUUACUAGGUGUAGUUGAUUUUUCAGUUUUGACACACACUUAUCUAUUUACAUAAUGUGGUUAUAUGUUUCAUUUUGUGGCUAACCACGUGAAAGUAUGUAGGUUCAAACCGAUGCUGUGGCCAACACAGAUAGUAGCAGUCAAGACAAUGACUUUUUGGACGAAGAAGAGUGACUUCAUGCAAGGAAAUGAGUUCCAAUAUUGGUGUGACGAGUCCCUUGACUGAAGAAGGAGGAUGACAUCAAGGGAGGCAUGAGCCGGCAGUGGCAGCAUGAGCCAUCACGACGCAUCGUUGGGAGGCUCCGGGCGGGGGGCAUGAGAGGUGUGACACAAGUGAGGAGGCGAACAAGGGAAGAUGAGUAGAUCGAGAUGGAUCAUACAAGGAUGAAGGGAUGUUAUAGAGCCGUUAGCCGACGGUGCUAAUUUCCUGUGUGUGUCGAUCUCGGUUGCCAUGCAGUAAAUGAAGAGUGCGUGUAUGCCUGUGGCACCCUCCAUUUUCAUAUUUGGAGUCCACACAGGCUGGGUGGCCGAGGGGAAGAGUGAGCGAUUUUUUUAUUCCGCUUUUUUUGCCUGAGUAGGUGUCUGUGAGGACUCCUUCCCCUUGGUGAUUUUGGUGAUGGUGGUGAGAUGGUGGAUUCUUUUUUUGCGGGAUCGUGUAAUAUACAUAGAAAUUUUUUC